GACGAACGCUGGCGGCGUGCUUAACACAUGCAAGUCGAGCGGUAAGGCCCUUUCGGGGGUACACGAGCGGCGAACGGGUGAGUAACACGUGGGUGACCUGCCCUCAGCUCUGGGAUAAGCCUGGGAAACUGGGUCUAAUACUGGAUAUGACUCCACGGUGCAUGUCGUGGGGUGGAAAGCCUUGUGCGGCUGAGGAUGGGCCCGCGGCCUAUCAGCUUGUUGGUGGGGNGAUGGCCUACCAAGGCGACGACGGGUAGCCGGCCUGAGAGGGCGACCGGCCACACUGGGACUGAGACACGGUCCGGACUCCUACGGGAGGCAGCAGUGGGGAAUAUUGGACAAUGGGCGAAAGCCUGAUCCAGCGACGCCGCGUGGGUGAAGAAGGCCUGCGGGUUGUAAAGCCCUUUCGGUGGGGAAGAAAAGCCUCGAGUUAAUACCUCGGGGUCUUGACGUAACCCAUAGAAGAAGCACCGGCUAACUCUGUGCCAGCAG
rnacentral:rRNA from 1 species